CAGACCCACGGAGACUGCAUUGGUCGGUCUUUGGCCCUCUGUCCCUCGUAGCCAUGGGGUUACGGGGACCUGCCUCUCCAGCUCUGACUCUGGACGGAUCCUGGAGGCAUGAAGCUGAGGCAACCAUUUCUGGGAGAUCCUGGGAACCUGGGUGAAGCAGGAACUCAGGCAGGGGACUCGCCAUCAGCCCUGCUGCCCAGGGGAGGAGGGACUGGCCCUUUAACUCCCAAUCCCAGCCUCAGGGACACUCAGAUGGCCCAGCGGUUCUAUUGCUGGCAGUCCGUCCUGCAGACACUCCAGACACGCGUGGAAAAUGUCCAUUGCAGCCUUAUGUGAACUAUCAAAGGACUGGAAACAGCCUAAAUGGUCAUCAGCAGGGAACUGGAUGGACAAGAUGUGAUUCUGCCCACUCACGCUGCCAACUACAAUGUACCCACUUCAUGAAGAACGUGCAGGUCCUCUCAUUUAUUUAUUCAACAAAUUCCUUCUGAGUCCUUGUUACAUGAGGCCCGCUAUGCUCGGCGAAGGGGACACAAUAGUGCAUGAACACAAACCCCAUCCUGGCCUUGCAGAGCUUGGUCUGCCUGGGGAGUUUGACUGAGGAAUCGGCAAUGCCGGAGGUGUAGCCCUCCAGAGGGCUAUGGUGGAGACGACUCAGAGAAGUCAGGGCAGUCAAGAGUUCUCAUUGUGGCUCAGUGGUUAACGAAUCCGACCGGG